rnacentral:rRNA from 1 species
UAAUACAGAGGUGGCAAGCGUUGUUCGGAAUUACUGGGCGUAAAGGGCGCGUAGGCGGUUCGAUAAGUCCCGUGUGAAAGCCCCCGGCUCAACUGGGGAACUGCACGGGAAACUGACGGACUUGAGUUCGGGAGAGGGAAGCGGAAUUCCGGGUGUAGCGGUGAAAUGCGUAGAUAUCCGGAGGAACACCGGUGGCGAAGGCGGCUUCCUGGACCGACACUGACGCUGAGGCGCGAAAGCUAGGGGAGCAAACGGGAUUAGAUACCCCGGUAGUCCUAGCUGUAAACGAUGAGCGCUGGGUGUAGGGGGUGUUAACCCCUCCUGUGCCGAAGCUAACGCAUUAAGCGCUCCGCCUGGGGAGUACGGUCGCAAGGCUG